GAUGAACGCUGACAGAAUGCUUAACACAUGCAAGUCUACUUGAUUCUACUUCGGUAGUUGAUGGUGGCGGACGGGUGAGUAACGCGUAAAGAAUCUGCCCUUUAGUUUGGGAUAACCUUUGGAAACGAAGGCUAAUACCGGAUAUUAUGGAGACGUCGCAUGGCGACUCCAUGAAAGCUAUAUGCGCUAGAGGAGGACUUUGCGUCCCAUUAGUUAGUUGGUGAGGUAAUGGCUCCCCAAGACCGCGAUGGGUAGCCGGCCUGAGAGGGUGAUCGGCCACAAGGGAACUGAGACACGGUCCUUACUCCUACGGGAGGCAGCAGUGGGGAAUAUUGGACAAUGGGCCACAAGCCUGAUCCAGCAAUUCUGUGUGCACGAUGAAGGUCUUCGGAUUGUAAAGUGCUUUCAGUAGGGAAGAAAAAAAUGACGGUACCUACAGAAGAAGCGACGGCUAAAUAUGUGCCAGCCGCCGCGGUAACAC
rnacentral:rRNA from 1 species